UUGGCUUAGAAGCAGCCAUCAUUUAAAGAAAGCGUAAUAGCUCACUGGUCGAGUCGGCCUGCGCGGAAGAUGUAACGGGGCUAAACCAUGCACCGAAGCUGCGGCAGCGACGCUUAUGCGUUGUUGGGUAGGGGAGCGUUCUGUAAGCCUGUGAAGGUGUACUGUGAGGUAUGCUGGAGGUAUCAGAAGUGCGAAUGCUGACAUAAGUAACGAUAAAGCGGGUGAAAAGC
rnacentral:rRNA from 1 species